CAGUAGCCGCGGUAAUACAGAGGGUGCGAGCGUUAAUCGGAUUUACUGGGCGUAAAGCGUGCGUAGGCGGCUUUUUAAGUCGGAUGUGAAAUCCCUGAGCUUAACUUAGGAAUUGCAUUCGAUACUGGGAAGCUAGAGUAUGGGAGAGGAUGGUAGAAUUCCAGGUGUAGCGGUGAAAUGCGUAGAGAUCUGGAGGAAUACCGAUGGCGAAGGCAGCCAUCUGGCCUAAUACUGACGCUGAGGUACGAAAGCAUGGGGAGCAAACAGGAUUAGAUACCCCCGUAGUCCCUGUCUCUUUACA
rnacentral:rRNA from 1 species